rnacentral:lncRNA from 1 species
AAAUUAAUAACCAACAAAAAAAGCAAAAUUAAUUACCGGUAUUGAUAGGCCUAUUGGGUCAAAAGACACAGUUUUUCUUACAUGGGCUGGGUCCAUUAGUACCGAAAUCGGGCUUUCCUUUGCACUAAAACACAAUGAUCGAUUCCCCAAUUUGGUAAUUUUUUGGAAUUAUAAACUGAUUGAAGAAAGAUACGCAAAGCAAUUAACAUAGAAAAGCAAAAUAAAAGAAAAUUGUUGUCAAAAGGGGUUUAAAGUUAUGGGAUUUCAAUCAAUUUUUCCCCCUCUUCUUUUUCUUUUUCCUGGUAAAAAUUUCCUCAUGCCCAGUUUUAUUUUCAAUCUUAAAAAAUUCUUUUUUUUACUGUAAAAUAUGGGUCUUUUUUUAAUUGAUUUUAUCUACUGUCUUUACAGUGACACUAUAAUUCGAGAGCUGGAGCAAUUGCAGCAAAUUUUUGGACACCCAACAUCGGCAAGGGCAGAGUAUUUGAUUUUUUUUUUUAAUUUCUUCUUUCUAUGAUCUUUGUUGGACUUUCACUGUGUAGAACGAAUUCUAUUUUUAGCUAGGCAUAACUUCUUUUUUUCUUAUUUUUGUUACUCAGGCUUUAUUGUAUGUUGGUUCUGUUCUGUUUUACCCAUAUUUCAUCAAUUUUUAUGAUUUAAAUUGAACUACUAUGUGAAAAGGAAUAUCGAGUAUUGCCAAGUAGUAUUUUCUUUGACUAUUACUGUACAUAAUUGUCAAUUUUGUUGUUCAAUUGCUAGCUGUUAAAUUUGCUGCAAAAGAAUGAUUAUUGCAGUUUGAAUCUCUUGUUUUUAUGGGGAAGAAUGGGAGGGUUGAAAAAGGGAAAUAAAAUGAAAUAGUUGGGUGGAAAGUGUUACCUUUUAUGGAGUUCUAGCUUAAUCAUCAUUUGUUUAAUUGUACAUUUUACACUUUCCAACAAUUGAAUGGAGCGAGUUUUUUGGAUUUCCAUUUCAUUGCUUUCAAGUAUCUUGGUCUAGAUAAGUUCCGUCCGUGUUUUCUGUUUUCAAAAUGAAUUAAUAUAUAUGACAUAACAGGUUCUUCUUGCAAAUUGGGAAUUGAAUGUUUAUAUGAAAAGGUGUUUAAAAUCUGAUCUUUUCUUUGUGGCAUCCAUAUUCUGCAAAGAUCUUUUGCCCUGUCUUUGUCCACCUCCUAGGUCUCAGUAUUUUGUCGGUUUGCUUAUGGUAGAGUUUGAUCUCCUUCUCUCCCAUUUUCCCUUUGUCCCCACUUUUCCUCUCCUUCCGCUUUAGCUCUUGAAAUUGCAUUUUAGAUCCUUGGUUGUUAUAGUGGAUUACAAGCAUACUUAACACUACGUUCAAGCUGUUGAAUUUUAGGUUCAACUUUCAAGUGUUAAAGUUUUAUUAAAGUUUUGAUUUCUUAUGUAAGCUUGUUUUACCCCCUUUUUUAGAGGGAGAGGGGGUUUGAGAGAGAUAAAAAUAGCACUUAUAUUAGUGUAUAUGGAUGUAUGUAUGUAUGUAUGUAUAUGGUAUACAUAAACAUAGGUUUAAAAAGUAUGCUACAUACGAUGUUUCUAUAAUACAAAAUUGUGUAAUUGCAAAAUAAAAUGUAAAUUUCAAGUACUGUGCACACUUAAAUUAUUUCUUAAAAAAUUCUAAAAAUUAAAUUCAAUAAAAUUAGAGUAUAACUUAAUGACCAAUAACAAAUAAAACUAAAAAAGGGAACCAUCAAGAACAUAAAAUUACUUGUGCAAAAUUAAUGCAUUAGCGAACCAUAUGAGGUUCUUGGUUGUUUUGCCUUAUUUAGAGGCUGUUUGAUUGGGUUUUUGCUAUUUGCUUUUUGCUUCCGAAAGUAAAAAAGCAAAAAUUGCAUUCCCAUAAGCAAUAAAAUAUUGAAGAGUUAAACACAAAAUAUGUAAAUUUUUUAUGAUUAACUACAUGAUUCUACUUCUAUAUAUACUAAUUGUGUUAUAACUGAUUUUAUAUUUUAAUUAUUUUUUCUGUUUCAGAUCAGUUAUGAUAUAUUUAUUGUUUACCUUUUGCUUUUCCUUUCUAGUAAAAUAUAUACGUUUUAUUCAUGUUCAUUUGUAACUUACCAGACUUCUUGACCAUGUUCUAGAAAUGCUAGUAUGUAACGAGUUUGCUUUGAAUAUGGCAGCUAACAAUAUCAGUGAAUCUUAGGUUUGUUGAUGCAAAUCAUGGCUAAUAGAUUCACUUGAAGCCUACUUAUCUAAAGAUCUUUAGAUUUUUGGAGGAUGAAAUACAGAGGUGGUGCUGAUGUUAAUAAUAUUGGACACUGAACACUGUCAAACAACAUAGAGGUGGAAAUAUACUGACUUUUUCAGGUUUCAGGGUUGGUUUUAUUUGUUGACUUCAUUCUACUACUUUUUUUUUUUUUUUUUUGGAAAGAUAUAUACCAACAUCUUAUGUAAAUAUGUAACUUGAUAUAGAUAAUUUGUAAUUUUGGGGAAGAGAGAGAAGGAAUGAAAUUGAGAAGAUAGUGGUUUUUCUUUGAAAUUUUGCCAUGAUGUAAAGUUGUUCUAGUCAGAGUUUUUUGAUGUUAUGAUGCUUAAGAAAUCCAGAUACUAGUGAUAUCUUUCCCCAAAAUAGUUCAUUCUUCAACUCCAUCUAUUUCAUCUGGUUUGUUUCUGGGAAUAAAAGCAUAUUCCUUAUUGGUUGCAAAAUUUUCAUUCAUUUUAGCUUCAAAUUUAUUGAUCAAUUAAAUUAUUAAUUGACUUGGUUAGUAUUUGUUGAAUCAUAUAACUUAGAAAAUGCAAUCAGUUAGUGGAGUUUUUAGAUUAUACAAGUUAGAGGGCUGUCACAAACCCUUUUACAAAUGUAUUAAAAAAUUAUAUAAAAAAAUUAAGAUAUGUGAUUUUUUUUAAUAUUGUUUAUAAAAUUUAAAAGUUUCUAUUAAACAUAUGUAAAGAAAUAAAAAUAUAUAAAAAUUAUCUCGUAUACAUGAAAUUUGCGAAAGAAGAAGAUUUUUUUUUUUUUUUAUGUGAGGUUGUUAGGAUUUAAACUUAAACUAUUGAAACUAAGAGUUUUACAUUUUACUAACAGGUUACAUGGUUAUUGUCUCAUUGAAUUUUUAAAUUCAGAGGAACUCUUUUAAAUAUAUUAACAAUAAAAAACUAAAAAGAUGCACAUACCAUGAAAUCUAAUAGUACAUUAGGAACAAAAACAUGAGAAACAAGUUGCUCAAUCAACAAAUUGAUUGGCCAAAAAAUCAACAAAUUAAAAACCCUCGUUUUAUUUUUGCUCAAAAGUUUGAAAAAAAAAAAAUCAAAAGAACACAUUCAUUCCCACUUCUCAAACUUGUCUGUUUUAGAAAUUGUGAUUUUAUAAUAGUGGAAUAAGAAAGAAAAUGAUAGGUACCAUGGGAAUGUAUUGGUCUAAGUCUUAGUCUUUGCUUUAUACUUAAUUUUUUCAUCAAGCAUGCAGAUGUAUUAAUCUUUUUGGCCCCAUCUUUACUUCACAAAAAUAAUAAUUUUAGCAGUUGCUUCAAUCUAAAUCAUUAAAAAGACUAAAAUAUAACAAUAAUAAUUAAUAUACUUAAAAUCCAUUCCCUGUAUGCUAAUUUAAUUGAAAGACAAAAGACAACCUUUAUUGAAAAAAUUGUUAUAUAUAUUUUAUCUUUUUUAAAAGACAAACUUGACUUAAGCGAACUAUUAAGAAGAUUAUUUUUAACAGAGUAAUGAUAGGGUAAGAAGACUUAAACAUUUGUAUGAUUGGAAGAUGUAAAAGUAUAAAGCAAACAAAAGACUAAAUACCAAUAAAAAAAAUCUCAUACUAUCAUUUUCUUUGUGAGUCCAAAAUUAGAAUAUCAAUUUUUUUUAUAAACUAUAAUUUUAUGAUGGGUGAAUCAAAAUACAUCAUCAUUUUGUUUAUCUACAUCCACUUUUUAAAAAAUUUUUAAGUGAAAUUACUUAUUUACCUAUCUCAUUUUAAUUUUAAAACUUCUAGAUAUGCAUUUCUGAUAAAUUAUAUAAUUUUUUAGAUUUUCAUAUCUAAUAAGUUAAAAAAGAUAUAUUUAGGUUUGGAAAAAAAAAUUCAAAGAAAAUAUCUUACAAAAAGUAAGAGAUUCUAAUACUGUUUAAAAAAUUUUAAAACUCUAUUAAUCAUGUGUAAAGAAAUCGAAAUAUAUAAAAAUUAUCUUGUAUACAUGAAAUUUGUGAAAAUAGAAGAUUGUCUUUUUUUUUCUGCUUGUAUAUGAGAUUGUCUAGAUUUGAACUUUAAACUAUUAAAAGUAAGAGUUCAAUAUUUUAUUAACAAAUUACAUGGUUAUUGGCUCAUUCAAUUUUUAAAUCAGUGCAUCACUUUAAAAUAUAGUAACAAUAAAAAACUAAAAAAGAUACACAUAUCAUGAAAUCUAAUAAUACAUUAGGAACAAAAGCAUAAGAAACAAGUUGCUUAAUCAACAAAUUGAUUGGCAAAAAAAAUCAACAAAUUAAAAACCUAUCUUUUAUUUUUGCUGAAAAGAUUGAAACAAAAAAAAAAAAAUCUAAACAACACAUUCACUCCUAUUUCUCAAACUUGUCUAUUUUUGGAAAUUGUGAUUUUAUAAUGGUGGAAUAAGAAAGAAAAAGAUAGAUCCUAUCGAAAUGCAUGGCAUCAAGCAUGCAAAUGUGUCAGUCUUUUCACCCCCAUUUUUACUUCAAAAAAAAAAUGAUGUUAGCAAUUGCUUCAAUCUAAGUCAUUGAAAAGACUAAAAUAUAACAAUAUUAAUUACUAUAUUUAAAAUCCAUCUCCAGUCUACCAAUUUAAUUGGAAGACAAAAGACAACCACCAUUGAGAAAAUUGCUAUUUUUUUGUCUUUUUUAAAAGAUAGACUUGGCUUAAACAAACAACUAAGAAGAUUAUUUUUCAUAAAGUAAUGAUGGGACAAGAAGACUUAGACAUUUGCAUGAUGGAAAGACUUAAAAGUAUAAAGUAAAGAAAAUACUAAAUACCAAUAAAAAAAAUCUCAUAUUAUCAUUUUCUUUGUUAGUCCAAAAUUAGAAUAUCAAUUUUUUUUGUAAAGUAUAAUUUUGUGAUGGGUGAUUCAAAAUACACCAUCAUUUUUUCUCUACAUCCACCUUGUUUAAAUUUUUUUUAAGUGAAAUUACUUAUUUACUUAUCUUGUUUUAAUUUUAAAACUUCUAAAUAUGUAUUUCUGAUGAGUUAUAUAACUUACAAAAUUUUCAUAUCUGGUAAGUUAGAAAAAGUUACAUUUAAGUUUUGAAAAAAAAUAGUUAAGAGAAAAUAUCUUACAAAAAGUAUGAGAUUAUAAUACUAUUUAUAAAAUUUAAAAACUCUAUUAAUCAUUUGUGAAGAAAUUAAAAAAAUAUAUAAAUUAUCUUGUAUACAUGAAAUUUUUUCAUUUGAAGAUUGUCUUUUUUUUAUUUUUUUUAUAUGUGAGAUUGUUAGGAUUUGAAUUUUAAAUUAUUGAAACUAAGAGUUUAGCAUUUUACUAACAGAAUAUAUAGUUAUUAGCUCAUCGAAUUUUUAAAUUAGAGGAUAUCUUUAAAAUAUAUUAACAAUAAAAAAUUAAAAAAAAAUGCACAUACCAUGAAAUCUAACAAUACAUUAGGAACAAAAGCAUGAGAAAGAAGUUGCUUAAUCAACAAAUUGAUGGGCCAAAAAAAAUCAACAAAUUAAAAACUUGUGUUUUACUUUUGCUGAAAGGUUUGAAAAAAACAUCUACAUAAUAUAUUCAUUCUCACUUCUCAAACUUGUGUAUUUUGGAAAUUGUGAUUUUAUAAUGGUGGAAUGAGAAAGAAAAAGAUAGAUCCUAUCAGAAUGCAUGGGUCUAAAUCAUAGUCUUUGCUUCAUACUUAGUCUUGGCAUCAGGCAUGCAAAUGUGUCAAUCUUUUCACCCCCAUUUUUACUUCAAAAAAAUAAUGAUGUUAGCAAUUGCUUCAGUCUAAGUUAUUGAAAAAACUAAAAUAUAACAAUAUUAAUUAAUAUACUUAAAAUCCAUCCCUUGUGUGUCAAUUUAACUAGAAGAAAAAAGACAACUUUCAUUGAGAAAAUUGUUGUUUUUUAUUUUUUUGUCUUUUUUAAAAGGCAGACUUAACUUAAGCAAAUUGAUAAGAAGAUUAUUUUCACAGAGUAAUGAUGGGGCAAGAAGACUUAGAUGUUUGCAUGAUGGGAGGACUUAUAAAAUAAAGAAAAGAUUAAAUACCAAUAAAAAGAUCUCAUACUAUCAUUUUCUUUGUGAGUCCAAAAUUAAAAUAUCAAAUUUUUUAUAAAAUAUAAUUUUCUGAUGGGUGAUUCUAAAUAUAUCAUCAUUUUUUUCUCUACAUCAAAAUUUUUUAAAAUUUUUAAGUGAAAUUACUUAUUUACCCAUCUCGUUUUAAUUUUAAAGCAUCUAGAUAUAACUUAUUAGAUUUUCAUAUCCAGUAAGUUAAAAAGUUACAUUUAGGAAUGGAAAAAAAUAGUUAAGAGAAAAUAUCUUGCAUAAAGUAUGAGGUUCUAAUGCCAUUUAUAAAAUUUAAAAUCUCUAUUAAUCAUAUAUGAUGAAAUUGAUAUAUAUAUAUAUAUAUAUAUAAAUAAUCUUGUAUACAUGAAAUUUGUGAAAUUAGAAAAUUAUCUUUUUUUUUUUUUUUGUAUGUGAGGUUAUCAAGAUUUGCACUUUAAACUACUAAAAUUAAGAGUUCAACAUUUUACUAACAAACAAUAUGGUUAUUUGCUCAUUUAAUUUUAAAUCAAAGAAUCUCUUUAAAAUAUAUUAACAAUAAAAAAACUAAAAAAUAAAAAAAUGCACAUACCAUGAGAUCUAAUAGUACAUUAGGAACAAAAGCAUGAGAAAGAAGUUGCUUAAUUAACAAAUUGAUUGCCAAAAAAAAAAAAAUCAACAAAUUAAAAACUUGUCUUUUGUUUUUGUUGAAAAGUUUGAAAAAAAAAUCUAAAGAACACAUUCACUCCUAUUUCUCGAACUUGUCUAUUUUGAAAAUUGUGAUUUUAUAACAGUAGAAUGAGAAAGAAAAAGAUAAAUAGAUCCUAUCGGAAUGCAUGGGUCUAAAUCAUAGUCUUUGCUUCAUACUUAGUCUUGGCAUCAACCAUGCAAAUGUGUCAAUCUUUUUGCCCCCUUUUUUACUUCAAAACAAUAAUGAUGUUAGCAAUUGUUUCAGUCCAAGUCAUUGAAAAGACUAAAAUAUAAUGAUAUUAAUUAAUAUACUUAAAGUCCAUUUCCAGUUUGCCAAUUUAAUUAGAAGACAAAAGAUAACCAUCAUUGAAAAAAUUGCUAUUUUUUUGUCUUUUUCAAAAGAUAGACUUGACUUAAGCAAACUGCUAAGAAGAUUAUUUUUCACAAAGUAUGAUGGGGCAAGAAGACUUAGACAUUCUGUAAUGUGGGAAACUUAAAAAGUAUAAAUAAGAAAGACUAAAUACGCAAUAAAAAAAUCUCAUACUAUCAUUUUCUUUGUUAGUCCAAAAUUAGAAUAUCAAUUUUUUUUUUUUGUAAAUAAUAAUUUUGUGGUGGUGAUUCUAAAUACAACAUCAUUUUUUCUCUACAUCCACCUUUUUAAAAAAUUUUUAAGUGAAAUUACCUAUUUACUCAUCUUGUUUUAAUUUUAAAACUUCUAAAUAUACAUUCCUAAUGAGUUAUAUAACUUACAAAAUUUUCAUAUCCAGUACGUUAGAAAAAGUUACAUUGAAGUUUGAAAAAAAAAGUUAAGAGAAAAUAUCUUAUAAAAAGUAUAAGAUUUUAAUAAUGUUUAUAAAAUUUAAAAACUCUAUUAAUCAUAUGUGAAGAAAUUAAAAUAUAUAUAUACAUAAAUUAUCUUGUAUACAUGAAAUUUUUUUCAUUUGAAGAUUGUUUUUUUUCAUUAAUUUUUUUAUAGUGAGAUUGUCAUGAUUUGAAUUUUAAACUAUUGAAACUAAGAGUUUGGCAUUUUACUAAUAGACUAUAUGGUUAUUUGCUUAUUGAAUUUUUAAAGUAGAGGAUACCUUUAAAAUAUAUUAACAAUAGAAAACUAAAAAAAUGCACAUGCCAUGAAAUCUAAUAGUACAUUAGGAAUAAAAGCAUGAGAAAGAAGUUGCUUAAUCAAGAAAUUGAUUGGCAAAAAAAAACAACAAAUUAAAAAUCUGUGUUUUAUUUUUACUGAAAGGAUUGAAAAAAAAUCUAAAGAACACAUUCACUUUCAUUUCUCAAACUUGUCUAUUUUGGAAAUUGUGAUUUUAUAAUGGUGGAAUGAGAAAGAAAAAGAUAGAUCCUAUCGAAAUGCAUGGGUCUAAAUCAUAGUCUUUGCUUCAUACUUAGUCUUGGCAUCAACCAUGCAAAUGUGUCAAUCUUUUCGCACCCAUUUUUACUUCAAAAAAAUAAUGAUGUUAGCAAUUGCUUCAGUCUAAGUUAUUGAAAAAACUAAAAUAUAACAAUAUUAAUUAAUAUACUUAAAAUCCAUUCCUAGUUUGCCAAUUUAAUUAGAAGACAAAGACAACCACCACUGAGCAAAUUGCUUUUUUCUUUUUUUUUUGUUUUUUUUAAAUGAUAGACUUGACUUAAGCAAACUACUAAAAAUAUUAUUUUUCAUAGAGUAAUGAUAGGGCAAGAAGACUUAGACAUUUGCAUGAUGGGACGGCUUAAAAAUAUAAACUAAAGAAAAGACUAAAUACCAAUAAAAAAAAAUCUCAUACUAUCAUUUUUUUUGUGAGUCCAAAAUUAAAAUAUCAAUUUUUUUAUAAAGUAUAAUUAUGUGAUGGAUGAUUCUGAAUACCCCAUCAUAUUUUUCUUUACAUCCACUCUUUUUUUUUUAAUUUUUAAGUAAAAUUACUUAUUUAUCCAUCUCUUUUUAAUUUUAAAACAUCUGGAUAUAACUUAUUGGAUUUUCAUAUCUGGUAGGUUAAAAGUUACAUUUAGGUUUGGAAAAAAAUAGUUAAGAGACAAUAUCUUGUAUAAAGUAUGAGAUUCUAAUGCCAUUUAUAAAAUUUAAAAUCUCUAUUAAUUAUAUAUGAUGAAAUCAAAAAAUAUAUAAAUUAUCUCGUAUGCAUGAAAUUUUUGAAAUUAGAAAUUUAUCUUUUUCUUUUUUUUGUAUGUGAGGUUAUCAAGAUUUGAACUUUAAACUACUAAAAUUAAGAGUUCAACAUUUUACUAACAAACUACAUAAUUAUUUGCACAUUUAAUUUUAAAAACUAACAAUAAAAACAUUUUAAAAUAUAUUAACAAUCAAAAUCUAAAAAAUAAAAAAAUGCGUAUACCAUGGGAUCUAAAAGUACAUUAGGAACAAAAGCAUGAUAAAGAAGUUGCUUAAUCAACAAAUUGAUUAAAAAAAUCAACAAAUUAAAAACCUAUCUUUUAUUUUUUUCUGAAAAGUUUGAAAAAAAAAAAUCUAAAGAACACAUUCACUCUCAUUUCUCAAACUUGCCUAUUUUGGAAAUUGUGAUUUUAUAAUGGUGGAAUGAGAAAGAAAAAGAUAGAUCCUAUCAGAAUGCAUGGGUCUAAAUCAUAGUCUUUGCUUCAUACUUAGUCUUGGCAUCAAGCAUGCAAAUGUGUCAAUCUUUUUGCCCCCAUUUUUACUUCAAAAAAAUAAUGAUGUUAGCAAUUGCUUCAGUCUAAGUUAUUGAAAAAACUCAAAUAUAACAAUAUUAAUUAAUAUACUUAAAAACCAUUCCUAGUCUGCCAAUUUAAUUAGAAGACAAAGACAACCACCACUGAGAAAAUUACUUUUUUUUUGUCUUUUUUAAAUGAUAGACUUGACUUAAGCAAAUUGUUAAAAAUAUUAUUUUUCACAGAGUAAUGAUAGGGCAAGAAGACUUAGACAUUUGCAUGAUGGGAAGGCUUAAAAGUAUAAAGUAAAGCAAAGACUAAAUACCAAUAAAAAAAAUCUCAUACUAUUAUUUUUUUUGUGAGUCCAAAAUUAGAAUAUCAAUUUUUUUAUAAAGUAUAAUUUUGUGAUGGAUGAUUCUGAAUACCCCAUCAUAUUUUUCUUUACAUCCACUCUUUUUUUAAAAAAAUUUUUUAAGUGAAAUUAUUAAUGUACUUAUCUCAUUUUAAUUUAAAAGCUUCUAGAUAUGCGUUUCUUAAGUUAUAUAUCUUAUUGAAUUUUCAUAUUCGAUAAAUUGAAAAAGGUUAUAUUUAGGUUUGAAAAAAAAUAGAUAAGAGAAAAUAUCUUAUAGAAAUUACAAGAUUUAAGAAUGUUUAUAAAAAUGAAAAACUCUAUAUAAAUUAUCUCUCAUACAAGAAAUUUUUUUAAAUUAGAAGUUUUUUUUUUUUUUAUAUGAGGUUGCUAGGGUUUGAACUUUAAACUAUUAAAACUAAGAGUUAAGCAUUUUAUUAACAGAUUAUGUGGUUAUUAACUCAUUGAAUUUUUAAAUAAGAGGAUAUCUUUAAAAUAUAUUAACAAUAACAAUUAAAAAAUAAAAAAACUGCACAUACCCUAAAAUCAAAUAGUACAUUAGGAAUAAAAGCAUGAAAAAGAAGUUGCUUAACGAACAAAUUGAUUGGCCAAAAAAAUCAACAAAUUAAAAACUUGUGUUUUAUUUUUGCCAAAAAGUUUGAAAAAAAAUCUAAAGAACAUAUUCAUUCUCACUUAUCAAACUUGUCUAUUUUGGAAAUUGUAAUUUUUUAAUGGUGGAAUAAGAAACAAAAUGAUAGAUACUAUAGGAAUGUAUUGGUUUAAGUCUUAGACUUUGCUUUAUACGUAGUUUUGGCAACAAGCAUGCAAAUGUGUUAGUUUAUUUGCGUCCAUCUUUACUUUACAAAAAUAAUAAUCUUAGCAAUUGCUCCAAUCUAAGUCAUUAAAAAGACUAAAAUAUAACAAUAAUAAUUAAUAUACUUAAAAUCCAUUUUCAGUUUGUCAAUUUAACUGGAAGACAAAAGAUAACCUCCAUUAAGAAAAUUGCUAUGAUUUUUUUAUCUUUUUUAUAAGACAGACUUAACUUAAGCAAAUUGGUAAGCAGAUUAUUUUUCAUAGAGUAAUGAUGGGAUAAGAAGACUUAGAUAAUUGCAUGAUGAGAAGACUUAAAAGUAUAAAGUAAAGAAAAGACUAAAUGCCAACAAAAAAUCUCAUACUAUCAUUUUCUUUGUGAUUCCAAAAUUAGAAUAUCAAUUUUUUUAUAAAGUAUAAUUUUUUGAUGGGUGAUUCUAAAUACACCAUUUUUUCCUCUACAUUUACUUUUUUUUUAAAGUUAUAUUACUUAUUUACACAUCUCAUUUUAAUUUUAAAACUUUUGAAUAUACAUUUCUGAUAAGUUGUAUAACUUAUCGAAUUUUCAAUUCUGAUAAGUUAAAAAUGAUAAAUUUGAUUUGGAAAAAAAAAAGUUAAAAGAAAAUAUGUUACAAAAGUAUGAGAUGCUAAUAUUGUUUAUAAAAUUCAAAAAAUCUAUUAAUUGUAUGUGGAGAAAUCGAAUAUAUAAAAAUUAUCUCGUAUAUAUGAAAUUUGUGAAAUUGGAAGAUUGUCUUUUUUUUUCUUGUAUGUGAGGUUGUCAAGAUUUGAACUUUAAACUAUUGAAACUAAAAAUUUAGUAUUUUACUAAUAGACUACUUGGUUAUUGGAUCAUUGAAAUUUUAAAUUAGAGGAUCUCUUUAAAAUAUAGUUAAUCAUAAAAACUUGAAGAAAUAAAAAAUGCACAUACCAUGAAAUCUAGCAGUACAUUAGGAACAAAAUCAUGAAAAAAAAUUGUUUAAUCAACAAAUUGAUUGGCCAAAAAAAAUUAAUAAAUUAAAAAUCUGUGUUUUAUUUUUUUGAAAAGUUUGAAAAAAAAAUCUAAAGAACACAUUCAUUCUCUCACUUCUUAAACUUGUUAAUUUGGAAAUUAUGAUUUUAUAAUGGUAAAAUAAGAAAGAAAAUGAUAGAUACUAUGGUAAUGUAUGGGUUGAAGUCGUAGUCUUUGCUUUAUACUUAGUCUUGGCAUCAAGCAUGCAAAUGUGUUAGUCUUUUUGCCUCAUCUUUACUUUACAAAAGUAAUAAUAUUAGCAAUUGCUUUAGUCUAAGUUAUUAAAAAAAACCAAAAUAUAAAAAUAAUAAUUAAUAUACUUAAAAUCUUGUCCCAGUCUGUCAAUUUAACUAAAAGACAAAAGACAAUUUCAAUUGAGAAAAUUGUUCUUUGUUUUGUCUUUUUUAAACGAUAGACUUGACUUAAACAAAUUGCUAAGAAGAUUAUUUUUCAUAGAGGAAUGUUGGGGUAAGAAGACUUAGACAUUUGCAUGAUGAGAAGACUUAAAAGUAUAAAGUGAAUAGAAGACUAAAAACCAAUAAAAAAAUCUCAUACUAUCAUUUUCUUUGAGUCUAAAAUAAAAAAAUCAAUUUUUUUAUAAAGUAUAAUUUUGUGAUGGAGAUUGUAGAUACACUAUCAUUUUUUUCUCUACAUCUGGAUAUGAAAAUUAGGUAAUUUAUAUAACUUAUUAGAAAUACAUAUCUAGAAGCUUUAACAUUAAAAGGUGGAUCUCUAUAAAGUAUAAUUUCCAUUGAUUCAAGGACUUUGAAAAAAAAAAUAAAGACAAUUUUCAAAUCCUAAAGUUUUUCUUUCAUCCUAUUAUUUUCAAAUAAUUAAAAAUUUAGAUCCUAUUAUUUUCAAAUAAUUGAAUAUUUAGGUAUCUAUUGAAUACUACGAUCAACGUCUUGACUCUUUCAUUGUACGUUCUCAAAUCUUAUAGAUAAGAUUCCACCAAGUGAAUAAUUGCUAAUUAUUUAAGAUGAUUAAUUAUUACAUUCUUGAGAUUCAACUAAAAAAUAUAAUUUAGAUUUCAUUUGGUUUGUAUUUUUUUCUUUUACUAUUUUUUUUUCAAUUCAUUUAUUAAAAAAUAAAAACCAAAAGCAUCAAUUAAUUGGAGGAUUAAAAAGUGAGAAAAUUAUGUAAUCUCAUUGGUUAAUUUCCUUUUUUCGAUUAAAAAAUUUAUUCAGUUUAAAACAAUAUAAAGUAUGAGUGUAUUUGAUAUUAUAGAUAAAAUUUCUAAUGUUCUUUUUAUUUUUUAAAUUUUGUUGGGAUUUUAGAUUUUGAUUUAUUAUGAGUGUAUUUUAUAUUAAAAUCUUAAAUUUAUUAUAUAAAAUUUAUAUUUUGAGGUUUCAAAUAUAAAAAUGUAAUCAAAAUCAAAAUGAUUUUGGAAUAUACUCGUAUAGAAAAGUAAUAGAAUUUUGUGUUGGAAAAGCAAAGAUGAUAAUUUUGAAAUAUCCAAGUAGAGAAUGAUAGAUAAAGAAAAUGAGAUAGUGAGAGUAUAAUUAAUUAGUAAUUAGAAAAUGAAUUGAAAAAAAAAAAAAAAACUUAGAAGUGAUGAUUGAAGACAAUUGAAAAGAUCAAUAUAAUUACGUAAAGAUGGUAAUAUAUAGUCUAAUUAAAGAUUGAAGUUGAACAAUUAAUAUUUAAUUUUGAAUAAUUUAAAUUAAAUUCCCUUUUGAACAAUUAAAAAAAAAAGUUAGUAUUAAUUUCUUAUGUAGCGCGACAAUGAGAUUGAAACAAAAAUGCACCAAAUGACGUUCUUCUUCUGACUCCACUAGUGCCAAGUGUGCCAAAGUUCAUUCUCCAUUUUUGUCAUCUGAAUGACUUCGCCGGUAAGCAAUUCCGAAGGCUAUAAACUUUAAUUAGCAUAAAACAACACCAAUGCCAAGAUUACAUAUAAUAUUUUAUAGAAAAAAUUAUAAUAAUUUUUUUUAAAGGUUAGAUUUAAGAAGAGAGAAGGUGCUAUAGGUAAAAGAAUUUGAACUCUAAACCUGUUAGAUAUUAUCUUUUAAUGAUAAUUGUAUAAAUCAACUAGGAGCGUAACUAGGCUCAAAUUUUUUUUUUUAACCAUUGUAGCAUAAUACCUUAUCCAACAAAAAAUAAUAUUUGAUCCCUUCUUUCCUAAUCAAAUUAUAAUUUGACCUCUCAUUUCUUUUAUUUUUGGCUCUCCUUUCGAAAGUAACAAAUUCAAAAAAUUAUUUUAUUAUUAAUAUUCUUUUAUAUAAAUGUAUUUUAUUUAUUUAGUUUCUUAUGAGGUUGAUCAAGGAAGGAAGAAAGAAGCUUCUGACCUUAGACAAAGUAACUUUAGACCAAUUCUAAAGUUCUUUUAAAGAAAAGGAAACAAUUUUAGAUAAAGCAAAGCAAGAAACAUGUGUAUGAGGCAAGAACAAGAAAAACCCACGCGUCAUGAAUUGAAGACUAAUUCAUUAAUAGAAAAUCCCAUUAAUUAUUGUUCUAUGGAAAAAUAAUCGUUUUGUCACUUUCAUAUUUCUAAUGUUCAUAUUUGUAAUUUCACUCAUUCAUUAAUAUUAAGGUUCAUUCCCAUUAAAAUAAUAUUGGUUGAUAUUUUUAUUUGAAGUAUUGUAAAAUAUUAAAUAUGAAUCUAUAUGUUCUAAGUUCUUACAAUUCAAACCAAUAUUCUUUAAUAAUAUUAAAAACAAAAAUAAUAAAAAGUACUAUACAUAUGAUAAAUUCAAUAUUAAAUUAUUAAUAUGUUGUUUUGAAUUCUUAAUGAUUAAUAAAAAUAUUUUGCAAAUAAUAAUCCAAAAAUACAUUUCAAGACGAUUACAUAAAGUAAUAUAUUCACCUAAUGCAUUAAAAAUAAUAGAUAUAAAAUUAACUAUAUCAACCAUUACAUUUAAGAUUAAAUUAUUACAAUAAAUAGUAUAUUAACUAAUUUUAAAGAGUGGAUAAAUAAGUAUUACAAUAAGUAAUAUAUUAACUAAUUUUAAAUAGCAUAAAUAGUAUAUAUCAAAUAAUAUAUCAAAUAUUCAAUUAUUUACCAUCUAUCACCAUCCCUAAACAGAAUUUCAAGAGAGAAGCAAUCAAUCAAAUCUAAUGGAAUGGAUAGGAAGGUGAAGCACGGUCUAAAGCUAAGCUCCUGUGUCAGAUCCCAUUAUUUCCUCUGACUUGACAUCAAUAUACAAGCGAAAUCUGAAUGCUUGGAAACUCAGUUUCAGCAAUUUCACUUGGUUGCCUAGAUGUUUCCUGCAUGCUAUCAUCUUUUGCCUUCGUUUCCUUUCAUUCAUGCUUUUGCUUUAGAUUUUCAGGUUAGGUAGGCAAUAUUUUUACAACAUAUGAUACCAUAUUACAACAGGUUUUGCAACAAAAAAAGAAUAAAAAAUGCACUAAAUGGUAUCCAUAUGACUAAAUGAUAUCCUUUCUUUUUAAUUAUUAAUCUAAUGGUGCUAGGAUAAACUUUAUUAUAGACCAAAGAAUAAGGCAUACUAUUAUAAAGAAAGAAUUGUUAAAAUAAUUAUUCUUUUCUCUGAAUGCAUAUUUAGAAAAAAAAAAGAAAUUGAUACAUAUGAGGAAGUUGAUCAAGGAAACAAAAGGAGAUUCAAACGUUGAAUUGAAGAAGAAGAAGAAGAAACAAACUUAUUAAUUAGGAUUUAAAAAAAAAAAAAAAGAAGUGUUCCAUCUAAUUUCAUAAUAACAAAGUUGAGUUGACUCAUUAAUCUUUGCAAGUUUUACUUCUCUUCAGAUGUUAAACUUAGUGAAAAUUUUCAUUAUUUUUUAGUAGUGAAGAAAUUCCUUCCUACUGAUCUACAUGUAACACUGUUACCUAACAUUGAGAAAAUUAAUUUUUUUAUUUGUUUUUUUUUUUUUUUGCAUGAAUGCAUAAUAUGAAAUAAAAAGUAGGAAGAAAGGAAAAAAUAUAGUGACAAAGAUUAAUUUACAAAAGCAAAAUUAUCAGCCUUAUCACCAUUCAAAUCUGUUAUUCAUUCUUUAAAAUUCAAAAUGGACAAGCACUAAAUAUGUCUGUCAAUCUUCCACCUAUUUUGAUUCAACUCCUACAGAAAAAGCUCAAACUCAUGAUUUGUAGAAACACGUGAUUGGAAAAACGCAUGUGAACCUAUCUCUUGAUAUCUAGGGAGAUAUAUAGCUACAAUAACAGUAUAAUAAUGUGAAGUACUUGUCUAUAUAUACCAUGCAAGGAAAUCUCAAACUCCACAGUCUUCCCUUCAUUUUUUUAUAGAGAGCCAACAAAACAUGAAGAAUCCUCAUAUCCUAAUUUCACUCAUUUUUCCUAGCUUGUUUUUCUCCUCAUGCUUUGUAUCUCUUGUGCUAUCUUUUUCCCCUUCUUAUACUGAUCUCCAAAACCAGUGCCUUGAUGACCAGAGAUCUACUCUGUUGCAAUUGCAUCGUGAUCUUUACUAUGCUCCAAAUUUUACUUUCUCUACCGAAGUUGAGCUUUGGGAUCUCAACACUAAUUGUUGCUCUUGGAAAGGAAUUACAUGCGAUGCUCUUGGUCAUGUGAUUGGGAUUGAUCUCAGUUACAAAAAUCUUUCAGGCAGCUUUCACUCCAUUUUCAAUCUCCAUCAUCUUCAACGCCUUAAUCUUGCUGGAAACAAUUUUAAUUCCACUCUGUUUCAAUAUGAGUUUGACAAACUCCCAUAUUUAACUCAUCUCAACCUUUCAAACUCAUGUUUCCAUGGCCAAAUUCCUGUGGGGAUUUCAUACUUAACAAGGUUAGUCUCUCUUGAUCUAUCUAAUCAAGAUUCUUGCUAUCUACACAAUUACCAAAUUCUUGAUCCAAAUUUCUGGUAUGAUGUUUUUCCUUACAACCUUUAUCAACCUUUAAAACUAGAAAACCCAAACUUCAAGUCAUUCAUCCAAAAUUUGAAAUCUCUUACGGAGCUCUACUUGGAUAGUGUGAACAUUUCAACUCAAAGUACUAAAUGGUGUGAAGCCACAUCCAUAGUACUUCAUAACCUGCAUGUGUUAAGUCUGUCAUAUUGUGGUUUGAUAGGUCCAGUUUGUUCUUCACUCUCAAGACUUCCUUUUCUUUCCAAACUUUUCCUCAACGGGAAUUCGAUCUCUUAUUUGCCUCCUAAUUUCUUGGAAAUUUCCUCUCGUUUGCUUUCUCUCAGUUUAGUGAAUUGCAAUUUGAGUGGGCAUUUUCCAACUGAAGUUCUCUCAUUGCCAAAAAUUCGGAGCAUUGACAUUUCAGAAAAUCACUUUCUUGGAGGUCAGUUGCCAGAAUUUUCAUUAAACAAUGCUUUACAGAUCUUAACGAUUUAUUCUACAAAUUUCAGUGGAAAACUGCCAGAAACAAUUGGUAAUCUCAAGUUCUUGACAAAUUUAGAUCUCGAUAAUUGCAAUUUCUUUGGACAAAUUCCAUCAUCAAUUGCAAAUCUUACAAACCUUGUGGAACUGGAUCUAUCUGGUAACAAUUUCAGUGGUUUUAUCCCUGCAUUUCAUAGAUCUGGAGUUCCAAAUCUUGCAUAUCUUUAUUUGUCGUGGAACCACCUUUCUGGAUCAAUACAUUCUUCUUUAUUUACUCUCCCAUCAUUGCAGGCCUUGGAUCUUAGUGAAAAUCAAUUGAUUAGUGAAAUUGAAGAGUUCCUCAAUGAAUCUUCUUCAUUGAUUGAAACAUUGUAUUUAGGCUACAAUAGCUUUAGUUCCAUGAAGCUUGGCAUGUUCUCGCAACUCAAGAACUUACGGUUUCUUGACCUUUCCAAUACGAGCUUGUCAAUUGAAAGCAACAUCACAAGCCUUGCUUUUCCCCGAUUAGAGGAGCUAAACCUAAAUUCAUGUAACCUUACUGAAUUUCCAGAAUUCAUCAAAACUCAAGACAAGUUGACUAUUCUAUGUCUUUCUAACAACGAAAUCCAUGGUUUUGUGCCUAAUUGGUUGUGGAAGACCACUCUUUUAUGGUUAGACCUUUCUUUCAAUGCGAUUGAUUUUCCAAAAGACGUCCCUUUUGGUGAUGCAAACUCCUCUUUUCCAAUGUUGAGUCACUUGCGUUUACAAUUCUGUAACCUAAGCAUGUUUCCAGAGUUUUUAAAGAGUCAAACUAGUUUAGAAUAUCUUGUCCUUUCAAAUAACAAAAUAAGUGGUGCAGUGCCAAACUGGGUGUGGAAGAAAAGUUUGUGGUAUCUAAAUCUUUCUAACAAUUCUCUCUCAUCUUUGGACCAAUUUUCUUUGAACCAAUCUCUAACUUCUUCACAAGGCUCUUUAUCAAGACCUAUUUGCAAUUUGAGUCAACUUGCGACCUUUAAUGCAUCCUUUAACAAAUUAAGUGGGCCAAUCUCAAGUUGCUUGGGCAAUCUCAGUUCCCUCAGCUCUUUGGAUCUACAAAAAAAUAAUUUCAGCGGCAGCAUACCAGAUUUUGCAAAAGCGACCCACUUAUAUUGGCUUCAACUCAAUGAUAAUAAAUUGGAAGGGAAGUUGCCAAGGUCAUUAGCCAAUUGCACAAUGCUCCACGUUUUAAAUCUUGGAAACAAUACUCUGCAUGACACAUUCCCUUUGUGGUUGGGAAAAUUGCCUGCAUUGAUGGUUCUUGUAUUGCGUGCAAAUAAGUUUUAUGGUCCAAUUAAACAUAUGAAAAAUUGUUUUCAAGAUUUGGAUGUACUAGACAUUGCUUUCAAUAAUUUUUCUGGUCAAUUACCAAUUGAAUUCUUUCAAGCCCCUCAACUAAGGUCACUCAACAUUGGUGCGAAUAAACUGGAAGGAAAGUUGCCGAGGUCAUUAGCCUAUUGCAAAAAGCUUGAAGUUUUGGAUGUUGGAAAAAAUAUGAUACAAGACACAUUUCCUUUUUGGUUGGUGAAAUUGCCUUCUUUAAAGGUUCUUGUACUAAGAGCAAAUAGAUUUUAUGGUCCAAUUAAAAUUUCUGAGGAUGAAAAUGUUUUCCCAGAAUUACACAUAUUGGACCUCGCUUCCAAUAACUUUUCAGGUGUGUUAUCUGUUGGAUUUUUUCAAUCUUUGAAGGCAAUGAAGUCGAUGACUGAUCGCAACAAAGCUAAGCCAGAUUACAUUGGAGACAUGUACUACCAGGACUCUAUGACAAUUGUGAAUAAAGGGUUUGAAAUUUUUUACAAGAAAAUCUUAACCAUCUUUUCUUGUCUUGACCUUUCCAAUAAUAGUUUCCAUGGGAGAAUACAGGAGGAAAUACAAAACCUCAAGUCACUCAAAGCGCUAAACUUCUCCUACAACAGCUUCCUUGGCCCAAUCCCUUCAGCACUUGGAAACUUAACUGAGCUUGAGUCGUUGGACCUCUCCCAGAACAACCUCUCAGGAAAGAUUCCUCCACAGCUUGCAAGCCUAACUUUUCUUGAAGUAUUGAAUCUCUCUUACAACCAACUUGAGGGAAGCAUACCACAAAGCUACCAAUUUGGUACAUUUCAAAACGAUUCUUACAAAGGGAAUCCAAGAUUGUGUGGGCCGCCUUUGACAAAGAAAUGCAAUGAAGUUGGUCUUGGAAUGCAACCGCCUAAGGAAGAUGAGGAUUCAUGGGUAGACGGUAUAUCUGUUUGGAAAAUCGUUUUGACUGGGUAUGGAUGUGGUUUGGUAAUUGGGUUAUCUAUUGGAUAUACAAUGCUGAAUGAGAUGGGGAACAAAUGGAUGGAUAGGUUUACAUGGAAUCGAAAUCAAAAAUGGAGAAGAUCUUCUAGGUGACUCCAUCAAAAUUCAAGUUUCAAAUUCAUUUGGUAAGCAUUCUAGAAUACUCAAUAAUUCAAAAGUUUUCUUAUUGGUUCUUUCAGCUGUAGUUUAUUGCCUAAACAAAUAAAAUUAUUUAAAUACUCUGGUGCAUUAUAAGUGUGAUAUAUAUAUAUAUAUAUAUAUAUAUAUAUAUAUACUCAUUUCCCUUUUAAACUUGGCAUUGCUUUUAAAACUGAAAACAAAAAUUGCCUGCAACCGAGGAUAUGUCCUUUGAAUUCCUAACCUCAUGUUAUAAAUGACAAUCAUGAGUUUCCAAGUUAGUAAUUUGUAAAAGACAUGUGGGUGACUGGCAUUUUGAGUUAGAUUGGGCUGUCAACCAUCUUAACAGCAAAGCAAAGCUUUGGCAUCUAUUGUCCUUAAUUAGAUUGGCUUGGGAUGCUCAUAUAUAUUUUAUUUGGCAGGAGCACAAUCAAAGGAAGUUUGGCAGGCCAUCUAAAGAUAUAGAAGCUAUUGUUUCAACUAUCAGAAGUUACUUUUCGCUUAGUUCAAUAACAAGAUUGCAGUCUUCAGUUGCACUCUUCCUCUUCAACAACAGAAAUUGUGUCUGAAUGUUUUUAGCUUGGUGUUACGGUACUUGUGUCUUAGUUCUUUCUCUUCUGUUCACCUAAGAUGAUUGGCAGUAUGUCUGGUUGUAUUGUGCUUCUCUUCUGUUCUGUCUAUAAGGUGGCGUUUUACUGCUGAGUUAUGGGGUUCCCCUGUUGUUCACCCUAUUGUGUAACUCUGUUUUUAUUAAUAAUUUCUGGCUUAGCAAAAGAAAAAUGUGUCUGAAUUGGGGACAGGUUCCUUAAUGUUGCUUAGUUUGAUUACUUUGCAAAAGUUAGAUUGUUCUUGGACAUUUGUAAUGUUUUGAUAGCUUACUGUUUACUUGUAGCAAGUCUAAUGCUUUCUUUGCGUUAAUAAAAAUCAUUCACCCAAAGAAAUUCUUAACGAAAAUCUUAUUAUCUUUUAAGCUCUUCAUUAUUGUUAUACCUAAGUGAUCAUGUUAGCAGCCACAUAUUAGGUCUUACACAUGAAAACCCCGUUUGCGACAUCAUCAUCUAAAAGGUAUAAAAAGUAGAACCAAACCAGAGAGAUGAUUCGCUACUGAACUCUCUCUACUCUCUUUAACUGCUUCUUAUCAUUUACUUGCUUCUGGUAUACCUUACUAACUUAACUUGAGCGUCGGGGAAUGCCUCAAAAUAACAUUUUUGGCACACUGACUUUCUGCUCUGUGAUAGGUCACACAAACUCUCCUUCUCAACCUCCGGUAAAACUUUUGACUAUCAGACCAGGAAUUACAUUAACAAUAUCAAUUAUUCAACUCAACUAUUUGCGGUGCAGGAAUUUGAUAUAAGCCAUGGCAUGUACAACAAUGACUACGCCCACCACUUUAGCUGCCAAAACUAGAAGUUACAUCUCCUAACACAGAAAAAUCUUCACAGACCAAGCUCAAGCUAAGAUGCUUUAUUCCUGUAUUAACUGCUACAUCACUACAAAGAAGAAAACAUCGAAAAGAAAAUAACAAAGCUUCCGGUUCUAGGUAUCAAGCUCGACAAUUCCAAACUAACUUCGAUAGUAUUUUAUUGUCCCUAACAACUAUAGAUUUGACUAUGGCGAGAAAGAAUGAAAUAUUUCGCUUAUUAUUUUCUUCAACUUUAAUCCCAUAUCAUCCUUUGUUUCUUUGCUUCAGCACUCCCACAGACAAAAACAAAUGGCUUGUUGUAAGCUCUAUUGCUAUAUGAUUGAUUUGCAUGUAGAAUAGACCUUGACUAAACAAAAACAUGAGGGCAAUACAUUCAGUAACUUAUAUAUACUCACUUCACUAGAAUUCCAGUGAACCCUUUCAGUAACUUAUUCUCUAUCUAAUAGAAAUAAAGCGUCAUAACUAAAUAGGCAAUAUUCACAUUGAUGUGCUAAGUGUUCUGAUACAGCCACUAAUCCAUAAUUAAAAGAUGAAGUUAUAGAAGACAUGCUAUCUUUCAAGCACUGGUCAUUUUAUAGGUAGUUUUUUCUCUAGUAGUUACCUUGAUGCUGUAAACCAGAAAGGUUGUCAAGCCUUCUGACAUUUAGCCUAUUUUGAGUAUUAGCUCAGAAUUUAUGUUUAGAAGGUUGGUGGAGGUAAAAAGAUAUCUGAUGACUUUGGGGUUGACAAAAGCCACAUUGGGCAGAGUGAUCAUGCAUAUAUGAAGACUGUGCCCCUAGAGGCUUUCUCCUACAACUGUCCUCAUGCAGCCCUAAGUUCUUCCUCAUUUGAAUCCUUCUCUAACUAGAAAUGUAAGUAUCAACUAGAAAAAUAAUUUAAUCUUAUCAAUUCGGUCAUUUGAAAAUUUUACAGAGCAAAAAGAAAACAAAAACUCAUGCUAAAAAAGAAAAUUUUAGAGGGAAAAAAGGAAACCAAAAAAUAUUACUAUUUCUUGAGUUUAAGUUUAGGUUUGCUAGCUAAUUUCAUUUUUUUUUUAUUUAAUGCAGGACCUGUAUUUUUCCAGGAAGAAAACUGAUCAUUAAUGUUUUCUAUGCUUUGGACUUGGACAGCACAAAAAAUGACAGUUUCCAUUAGCCGCCCUACCCAAUUGAAACUACCUGCAAUCCAACAUUCUUAAACUCUUUGAAGUAACAUCCUAGAUCCUACCAGUAUGUGUCAUCGAGACCUGGAUUCUGAUCUGAUCAAGCUGAAUUCUUGGCCAUUAUGAAGGUUGUGAAGUUGGAUGCUGACCCUUGGAAAAUUAAUACUGGAUUGCAAUGCUAUCUCUAGGUAGAAGAAAUGCUACUUCGUGGGUAAAAGGCAGCAAUAGGGUUUGUUGGCAUCUUAGGAACGCCAAUUUUGUAUAUAAAUUACAAGUUUUACAAUUGUCUACUCAUUCAGCUGUUUUCGACGACUCUUGGAAUUUCAUGUAAAAACCUAAUUCUUGCUCUGCUUAAUACUAUCACUCAAUUCAUAAGUCUGUUGUGGAAUGACAGAAAAAAAUGCUUACCUAAAUAGUAAUGCACAUGCCUGCAGCAACAAUGAUUUUAAAGAGCUCAUCACUGCAUAAUCCAAAAUUCCCCCAAGCUCAAGCAGGGAAAUGAUUUCGUUUAAUAAGGUAUUCAGACAAGGGAAAUGAUUUUAAAGGGCGAUGAAUCGUCAUUGUCAUCAUCACUCUGGCCUACCCCUGCCUCAUCAUCAUCAUAAUCGCUACCCAAAACCAGAUUUCUCUUCCUUGCUUUCUCUGCUUCUUCCAGUCCUUCUCUAAUUGCCAUCCAGACUUGUAAUCUCCACUAUCAUGCAUAAACUUACAUGAAUCCUCUAACCACAGUAACCAGUUUCUUUGUAGUCUAUACAGAUGUCAGGUUGAUAAUCAAAUCUCUCUGAAACCCUGAUGUGGGCAGAAGCCCUAACGUGAGCCACCAGCUUUCUCACUGGCAACUGUCUGCUCCCUUCAAACGCAGCCUUAUGAUCCACAUAGCCAUGCUUUCCUUUAUACAACUUCUCUCCCACAGAGCUUUGGCUUUCCCCUUCAAAGCCUCCUCUGCUUGUUUAAGAACUUUCUCACCUAUAGCUCGAGCAUCUUAUAUAAACUCAGUCUCAGUUUCUAAGGUUGCGGUAGCUCUGCUAUCAUUUUGAACUUGAAGUUCCUUCGAAGACUCAAAUUGAAAAAUCGGUUUGUCAAAUUCUGUAUCUGAUUCAUUGAGAGCAGCACUCCUGGGGGAUCCAGUCGAAAAGUAUAACUUAUUGUCAGGCUUCAAAGCCCUCUUCUGAUUGUGUGACGGGGAUGUGCCAUUUCUGGAGUCUUCAUCUUCAUCUUCAUUUGUUUUCCUUUUCCUUAUGUUUUUGCCCUUUGUUAGCUUCCUAAAGAAAUUGCAGACUGAAAAAUCGAAGAGUUAACUAUAUAAGUAAAGAUACUGUCUGAAUUUGAUGCACACUAACAGAAACGGCCGGUUCUUUUUCAUUAUUAUUAUUUUUUUCAAAAAGAAAUGUCACAAUCACAGCGGCAAUGGGAGAACGCGACCACCGGUGCAGUGGCGGGCUUCGCCACCGUUGCAGCGAUUUACCCCCUGGACAUUGUCCGUACGAGAUUUCAAGGUAAUCCUCUUCUUCUUCUUCUUCUUCCGUCUCUUUCUUUAUAUAUACAUAGUUUCGACAAAAAAGUUUCAGUUUUUUUGGUGCUGAUUGGAUCGAGUUUUCAAAUAGUUAACGAUGGUCGACUCACCAAUUUCCCGACUUACAAGAACACCGCCCACGCCAUUUUUAUCAUUACUAGCUUAGAGGUUCACACCUUUUUUUUUCUUUCAUUUAAUUAGGCUUAGGCACUUUAUUUUUCUUUUCUCUCCAUGUAAAUUUGAGGUCUUUCUCGCUUUCAUUGGAGAUUAACGUUUCUCUUUUGUAUGCUGUUUUUCUUUUGAUAUAUGCUAAAAGUUUGGUGAGUUUGUCAUGCAGGGUUUGAAAGGGCUUUAUGCAGGCUUCUUUCCUGCAGUUUUAGCGUCCUCUGUUUCCUGGGGUUUAUAUUUCUUCUUGUAGGUGCCAUCAUCAAUUUACAUGUUACAACUUUUCCUUUGAUUACAGUACAUUUGUUGUCAAAUAUAUGUGCACAUUUGAAUUAUUAGCUGCAGCGGAAACGACUAAUUUGCUGAUUUUUUUUAAUGUAAAUAGAUUGAUUUUAAUAUGCAAUGGGGAAUAUAAAGAGUUAAUGUGUUUUGAUUUGUUGAAAAAUGUAGUGUGACAAUCAAUUAAUCUAAAGUGUCUGCUACUACUGUCUUAAUUUGAUGCAAGUUGCAAAUUAUCUCUGUUGAAACCCAGUUUUGAUGUUUAGAAACCAAAAUUCUGAGUAGAGUUUGAUAUGCAAUCAAACGGAAAAAGGGAAAAAAAACUCAACAAAAGAAAUGUGCUUCUGCAAUCUGCAAAAUUGGCUUGAAGAUCUUUCCUGAUUGAAGUGAAGCUUCAGAGAUGGAAAAUUGGCAAGUAAUAAUAAGUAAACACAUAUUAAUUACCUGCUUAAUCCAUUAAAUAAGAGAAAAAAACCUUAAUGACUUCAUAUCAAUAAUGAAAUGGGCCUACUGCAACAAUUCAGAAAAUGGAAUCAUACUUCAAAAACAUUCCAUUUGCUACAAUAUUGAUUGUACUGGUGACAAUGUCUAACCCACAAGCAUGAGCUCCAUGACCAAAGGUCCCUGCAAAUAGCUUCCACCAAUGCCGAGGAUUCUAAAGCUGUACAUAGCAAUUUGGUUGAAAGCAGAUUUGUGAAGCUUUCAUUUCAUAUAACUUGGCAGCAAGAAAAUGAUUGGGAGAAGCUAGUGAGUAUGGAGAAACGAUAUGGACAGGAUCACUAUCUUCAAUUUUGGACAGGAUGUUUUGAAGUCAAGAUCAGCUUGACGGGGUAAAGCAAAGACUUGGUGACUGGUGAGGAACUAAAUAAAAACUGAAAUAAUACCUUCAAUUUCCUUAAAAAUAUAAAUAAAACUCAAUGACAAUGAAGUUGAUGUAUUUUCAAAUUGUUCAAUGUUUAAAAACUGAAAACAAAAGAAGUAAUAGCAUCAUAUGUUGGCUGUUGGGUUCAGAAUAAUUUGUUGCUUACUUAACAUUAAAUCAUCUAUAAAGAAACUAUUUAGUCCCUUUUAGAUGCCAUCACAGACUCAGUGUGAUAGAAUUCAGGUCAAAAUAUGGAUUCAUCACCAUUUAUAUAUUUGUAUCUCACAUAUAUUUCAUUAUUGAUUUUAAUCUCUAUGCUAUUAUAUCUAAUCUCAUCAUAAUAAUAAUUAUUUUUUCUAUUAUCGUUAUUUUUAAUUUCACGGAAACUAAUUUUGCUUCUCAUCUAAAUUGUUAUCGAAAAAAAAGUGAGAUCUAGCACAAUACUUAUUACCCUUUUCAUUAUAUAUAUAUAUAUAUAUAUAUAUAUAUAUAAAACUUACAUAAUGCACAAUAGAUGGCACAAUUUUUAUGUAUAAAGAAGAACUCAUGAAUUUAAGUAUAAUCAUAUUUUGUUUUUAUUUUUUAAAAAAAUUUAUAUUAACAUUUGAAAUUUAUAUCCCUUUCUUUUGAAUUCAAAUUUCUAAACACAAAUUUAAUUAACAAAAGAAAUUCCUCUUUCAUUGAUCAAACAACAAAAAUUAAGAAACAAUCAUUGAGGAAAGAAAAACUAAUACCUCGAAAACAAAAAUAAGAAUUUAGGGCUUUAAUAAUGUUUGUUUUUCAAAAAAAAAAAAGAUUGUAAAAAAAAUUCAUACGUAUAAAUAAAAUUAAUAAUCAACCAAAAAGAGCAAAAUUAAUUACCCGAAUUAGUUUGGAUAAGCCUAUUGGGUCAAAAGACCUCUUUUUUUUACAUGGGCUGGGCCCAUUAAUACCGAAAUCGUGCUUCCCUUUGACUUCUUGCACUAAAAAUACAAUGAUGGAUUCCGAAUUUGGCAAUUGUUGUGAAUCAUAAAGUGUUUGAAGAAAAAUACGAAAAGCAAUUAACUGAGAAAAGCAAAAUUUAAAAAAAAUGUUGUCAAAAGGGAUUAAAGUUAGGGCGUUUUAAUCGAAUUUUCCUCUCCUUUUUUCAUUUUCCUGGUGAAAACUUCCUCAUGCCCAGUUUUAUUUUCAAUCUUAAAAUUUUUUUAAUUGAUUUUAUCUCCUGUUUUUGCAGUGACACUGUAAUUCGAGAGCUGGAGUCAUUGCAGGUAAUUUUUGGAAACCCCACAUUAGCAAAGGCAGAGUAUUUGAUUUUUUUUUUUUUUAAUUUCUUUUUUCUGUGAUCUUUUUUAGACUUUCACUGUGUAGAAAAGUUCUAUUUUUUGCUAAGCAUAACUUUUUUUUUUCUUAUUUGUGUUUCUCAGGCUUUAUUGUAUGUUGGUUUUGUUCUGUUUUAUCCAUAUUUCAUUUAUUUUUAUGAUUUGAAUUGAACUACUAUGUGAAAAGGAAUAUUGAGUAUUGCCAAGUAGUAUUUUCUUUGACUAUUACUGUACAUAAUUGUCAAUCUGUUAUUCAAUUGCUGGCUGUUAAAUUUGCUGGAAAAGAAUGAUUAUUGCAGUUUGAAUCUCUUGUUAUUAUGGGGAAGAGUGUGAGGGUUGAAAAAAGGGAAAGCAAAAUAAAAUGAAAUAGUUGGGUGGAAAGUGUUACCUUUUAUGGAGUUCUUGCUUGCAAUCAUCAUUUGUUUAAUUGUACAUUUUGCAUUUUCCAACAAUUGAAUGGAGGGAGUUUUUCGGAUUUCCAUUUCACUGCUUUCAAGUAUCUUGGUUUAGAUAAGUUUCGUCAGUGUUUUCUGUUUUCAAAAUGAAUUAAUAUACAUGACAUAACAGGUUCUUCUUGCAAAUCGGGAAUUGAAUGCUUAUGUGAAAAGGUGUUUAAAAUCUGAUCUUUUCUUUGUGGCAUCCAUAUUCUGCAAAGAUCUUUUGCCCUGUCUUUGUUCACCUCCUAGGUAUCAAUAUUUUAUCGGUUUGCUUAUGCUAGAGUUUGAUCUCUUUCUCUACCAUUUUCCCUUUGCCCCUACUAUUCCUCUUCUUCCUCUUUAGCCUUUGAAAUUGCUUUUUAGAGCCUUGGUUGUUAUAGUGGAUUACAAGCAUACAUAACACUAUGUUCAAGCUGUUGAAUUUUAGGUUCAACUUUCAAGUGUUAAGAGUUUUAUUAAAGUUUUAAUUUCUUGUGUAAGCCUUGUUUUACCCCCUUUUUUAGAGGGAGAGGAGGUUUGGGAGAGAUAAAAAUAGCACUUAUUUUAGUGUAUACGGAUGUAUGUAUGUAUGUAUGUAUAUGGUAUAUAUAAACAUAGGUUUAAAAAAUAUGCUACAUACAAUGUUUCUAUAAAAAAUCAUGAUUGCAAAAUAAAAUGUAAAUUUUAAGUACUGUACAUACAUAAAUCAUUUCUAAAAAAAUUCUAAAAAUUAAAUUCAAUAAAAUUAGAGUAUAACUUAAUGACCAGAAACAAAUAAAACUAAAAAAAAGAACUACCAAGAACAUAAAAUUAUUUGUGCAAAAUUAAUGCAUUAGUGAAUCAUAUGAAGUUCUUGGUUGUUUUGCCUCAUUUAGAGUCUGUUUGAUUGGUUUUUUGCUAGUUGCUUUUUGCCUCCAAAAGCAAAAAUGAAAAAAUUGCUUUUCCAUAAGCAAUAAAAUUUUGAAGAGCUAUACACAAAAUAUGUAAAUUUGUUAUGAUUAACUACAUGGUUCUACUUCUAUAUAUACUAAUUGUGUUAUAUAUUUUAAUUAUUUUUUCUGUUUUAGACCAGUUAUGAUAUAUAUAUUUUACUUUUUUCUCUUCCUUUCUAGUUAAAUAUAUACGUUUUAUUCAUGUUCAUAGGGAACUUACCAAACUCCUUGACCAUGCUCUAGAAAUGCCAGUAUGUAACGAGUUUGCUUUGAAUAUGGCAGCUAACAACAUCAGUGAAUCUUAGGUUUCUUGAUGCAAAUCAUGGCUAAUAGAUUCACUUGAAGCCUACUUAUCUAAAGAUUUUCGGAUUUUUGGAGGAUGAAAUACAGAGGUGGUGCUGAUGUUAAUAAUAUUGGAGACUGAACACUGUCAAACAACAUAGAGGUGGAAAUAUACUGACUUUUUCAGGUUUCAGGGUUGGUUUUAUUUGUUGACUUCAUUCUACUAUUUUUUUUUUUUGGAAAGAUAUAUACCAACAUCUUAUGUAAAUAUGUAACUUGAUAUAGAUAAUUUGUAAUUUUGGGGAAGAGAGAGAAGGAAUGAAAUUGAGAAGAUAGUGGUUUUUCUUUGAAAUUUUGCCAUGAUGUAAAGUUGUUCUAGUCAGAGUUUUUUGAUGUUAUGAUGCUUAAGAAAUCCAGAUACUAGUGAUAUCUUUCCCCAAAAUAGUUCAUUCUUCAACUCCAUCUAUUUCAUCUGGUUUGUUUCUGGGAAUAAAAGCAUAUUCCUUAUUGGUUGCAAAAUUUUCAUUCAUUUUAGCUUCAAAUUUAUCGAACAAUUAAAUUAUUAAUUGACUUGGUUAGUAUUUGUUGAACCAUAUAACUUAGAAAAUGCAAUCAGUUAGUGGAGAUUUUAGAUUAUACAAGUUAGAGGGCUGUCACAAACCCUUUUACAAAUAUAUUAAAAAAGUAUAUAAAAAAAUUAAGAUAUGUGAUAAUUUUUUAAUACUAUUUAUAAAAUUUAAAAGCUCUAUUAAACAUAUAUGAAGAAAUCAAAAUAUAUAAAAAUUAUCUCGUAUACAUGAAAUUUGCGAAAGAAGAAGAUUUUUUUUUUUUUUUAUGUGAGGUUGUUAGGAUUUAAACUUAAACUAUUGAAACUAAGAGUUCUGCAUUCAUUCCCACUCUUAUUUUGGAAAUUGUGAUUUUAUAAUGGUGGAAUAAGAAAGAAAAUGACAGAUACUAUGAGAAUGUAAUGGUCUAAGUAUUAGUCUUUGCUUUAUACUUAGUUUUGGCAUCACGCAUGCAAAUUUAUUAAUCUUUUUGCCCCCAUCUUUGCUUCACAAAAAUAAUAAUUUUAGCAGUUGCUUAAGUCUAAGUCAUUAAAAAGACUAAAAUAUAACAAUAAUAAUUAAUAUAUUUAAAAUCCAUUUCCUGUGUUCUAAUUUAACUAGAAGACAAAAGACAACCUCUAUUAAAAAAAUUGUUAUUAUUUUUUUUGUUUUUUUUAAAGACAAACUUCACUUAAACAAACUGCUAAGAAAAUUAUUUUUUAUAGAGUAAUGAUAGGGUAAGAAGACUUAAACAUUUGCAUGAGUGGAAUAAUUAAAAGUAGAAAGCAAAGAAAAGACUAAAUACCAACAAGAAAAUCUCAUACUAUCACUUUCUUUGUGAGUCCAAAAUUAGAAUAUAAAUUUUUUUAUAAACUUUAAUUUUAUGAUGGGUGAUUCAAAAUACAUCAUCAUUUUUUUUCUCUACAUCCAUUUUUAAAAUUUUUUUUAAGUGAAAUUACUUAUUUACACAUUUCGUUUUAAUUUUAAAACUUCUAGAUAUGCAUUUUUGAUAAGUUAUAUAACUUUUCAGAUUUUGAUAUCUGGUAAGUUAAAAAAAUAUAUUAAGGUUUAAAGAAAAUAAUUGAGAGAAAAUAUCUUAUGGAAAGCAUGAAAUUCUAAUACCAUUUAAAAAAUUUAAAAACUUUAUUAAUCAUAUGUAAAGAAAUUGAAAUUUAUAAAAAUUAUCUCACAUGAAAUUUGUGAAAAUAAAAGAUUGUCUUUUUUUUUUCUUGUAUAUGAAGUUGUCAAGAUUUGAACUUUAAACUAUUAAAACUAAAAGUUCAAUAUUUUACUAACAAAUUAUAUGGUUAUUGGCUUAUUGAGUUUUUAAAUCAGUGCAUCACUUUAAAAUAUAGUAACAAUAAAAAACUAAAAAAAAAUGCACAUACCAUGAAAUCUAAUAGUACAUUAGGAACAAAAGCAUAAGAAACAAGUUGUUUAAUCAAUAAAUUGAUUAGCCAAAAAAAUCAACAAAUUAAAAACCUGUCUUUUAUUUUUGCUGAAAAGUUUGGAAAAAAAAAUUCUAAAGAACACAUUCACUCCCAUUUCUGAAACUUAUCUAUUUUGGAAAUUGUGAUUUUAUAAUGGUGGAAUAAAAAAGAAAAAGAUAGAUCUUAUCAUAAUGCAUGGGUCUAAAUUAUAGUCCUUGCUUCAUACUUAGUCUUGGCAUCAAGCAUGCAAAUGUGUCAAUCUUUUCGCCCCCAUUUUUACUUCAAAAAAUUAAUGAUGUUAGCAAUUGCUUUAGUCUAAGUCAUUGAAAAGACUAAAAUACAAAAUAUUAAUUAAUAUACUUAAAAUCCAUUCCCAAUCUAUCAAUUUAAUUGGAAAACAAAAGAUAACCACCAUUGAAAAAAUUGCUAUUUUUUUUUGUCUUUUUUAAAAGAUAGAUUUGAUUUAAGCAAACUGCUAAGAAGAUUAUUUUUCAUAGAAUAAUGAUAGGGUAAGAAGACUUAGACAUUUGCAUGAUGGAAGACUUAAAAGUAUAAAGUAAAGAAAAGACUAAAUACCAAUAAAAAAAAAUCUCAUACUAUCAUUUUCUUUGUUAGUCAAAAAUUAGAAUAUCAAUUUUUUUUUGUAAAGCAUAAUUUUGUGAUGGGUGAUUCUAAAUACAACAUUAUUUUUUCUCUACAUCCACCUUUUUUUAAAAAAUUUUAAGUGAAAUUACUUCUUUACUCAUCUUGUUUUAAUUUUAAAACUUUUAAAUAUGCAUUUCUGAUGAGUUAUAUAAUUUACAAAAUUUUCAUAUCUGGUAAGUUAGAAAAAAGUUACAUUUAGGUUUAAAAAAAUAGUUAAGAAAAAAUAUCUUACAAAAUGUAUGAGUUUUUAAUAUUGUUUAUAAAAUUUAAAAACUCUAUUAAUCAUAUAUGAAGAAAUUAAAAUACAUAUAUAUAUAUAUAUAUAUUAUCUUGUAUACAUGAAAUUUUUUCAUUUUAAGAUUGUCUUUUUUUUUUUUUUUUAUAUGUGAGAUUGUCAAGAUUUGAAUUCUAAACUAUUGAAACUAAGAGUUUAGCAUUUUACUAUCAGACUAUAUGAUUAUUAGCUCAUUGAAUUUUUAAAUUAGGGGAUAUCUUUAAAAUAUAUUAACAAUAAAAAACUAAAAAAAUGCACAUACCAUGAAAUCUAAUAGUACAUUAGGAACAAAAGCAUGAGAAAAACGUUGCUUAAUCAACAAAUUGAUUGGCCAAAAAAAAAUCAACAAAUUAAAAACCUAUGUUUUAUAUUUGUUGAAAGGUUUGAAAAAAAAAAUGGUGGCAUAAGAAAGAAAAUGAUAGAUACUAUGGGAAUGUAUUGGUCUAAGUGUUAGUCUUUGCUCUAUACUUAGUUUUGGCAUCAAGCAUGCAAAUGUGUCAAUCUUUUUGCCCCCAUCUUUACUUCACAAAAAUAAUCUUAGUACUUCAGUCUAAGUUAUUAAAAAGACUAAAAUAUAACAAUAAUAAUUAAUAUACUCAAAAUCCAUUCCUUGUGUGCCAAUUUUAGUAGAAAACAAAAGACAACUUUCGUUGAGAAAAUUUUUUUUUUUUUUAUCUUUUUUAAAAGGCAGACUUGACUUAAGCAAAUUGCUAAGAAGAUUAUUUUCACAUAAAAAUGAUAGGGCAAGAAGACUUAGACAUUUGCAUGAUGGAAAGACUUAAAAGUAUAAAACAAAGAAAAUGAUUAAAUACCAAUAAAAAUAUAUCAUACUAUCAUCUUUUUUGUGAGUCCAAAAUUAAAAUAUCAAUUUUUUUAUAAAGUAGAAUUUUGUGAUGGGUGAUUCUAAAUAUAUCAUCAUUUUUUCUCUUUAUCAAUUUUUUAAAUUUUAAGUGAAAUUACUUAUUUACCAAUCUUGUUUUAAUUGUAAAGCAUCUAUAUAUAACUUAUUGGAUUUUCAUAUCCGACAAGUUAAAAAAAGUUACAAUUAGGUUUGGAAAAAAAUUAAGAGAAAAUAUCUUGCAUAAAGUAUGAGAUUUUAAUACCAUUUAUAAAAUUUAAAAUCUCUAUUAAUCAUAUAUGAUGAAAUCGAAAUAUAUAUAAAUUAUCUCGUAUACAUGAAAUUUGUGAAACUAGAAAAUUGUCCUUUUUUUUUUUUUGUAUGUGAGGUUAUCAAGAUUUGAACUUUAAACUACUAAAAUUAAGAGUUCAACAUUUUACUAACAAACUACAUGGUUAUUUACUCAUUUAAUUUUAAAUCAAAGAAUCUCUUUAAAAUAUAUUAACAAUAAAAAACUAAAAAAUAAAAAAAUGCACAUACCAUGAGAUCUAAUAGUACAUUAGGAAUAAAAGCAUGAGAAAGAAGUUGCUUAAUCAACAAAUUGAUUGGGAAAAAAAAUCAACAAAUUAAAAAUUGUCUUUAUUUUUGCUGAAAAGUUAAAAAAAAAAAAUCUAAAGAACACAUUCAUUCCCACAUCUAUAACUUGUCUAUUUUGAAAAUUGUGAUUUUAUAAUGGUGGAAUAAGAAAGAAAAUGAUAGAUACUAUGGGAAUGCAUUGGUCUAGAUCUUAGUCUUUGCUUUAUACUUAGUAUUAGCAUCAAACACGCAAAUGUGUUAGUCUUUUUGCCCCUAUCUUUACUUCACAAAAAUAAUAAUUUUAGUAGUUGUUUCAAUCUAAAUCAUUAAAAAGACUAAAAUAUAAUAAUAAUAAUUACUAUACUUAAAAUCCUUUCCUAGUUUGCCAAUUUAAUUGAAAAACAAAAGACAACCACCAUUUAAAAAUUGUUAUGUUUUUUUUUUUUUUUUUUAAGAGACAAACUUGACUUAAACAAAUUACUAAGAAGAUUAUUCUUCACAGAGUAAUGAUGGGGCAAAAAAACUUAGACAUUUGCAUGAUGGGAAGGCUUGAAAGUAUAAAGUAAAGAAAAGACUAAAUAUCAAUAUAAAAAUCUUAUACUAUCAUUUUCUUUGUGAGUCCAAAAUUAGAAUAUCAAUUUUUUUUAUGAAGUAUAAUUUUGUGAUGGGUGAUUUUGAAUACACCAUCAUAUUUUUCUCUACAUCCACUCUUUAUUUUUUAAAUUUUUAAGUGAAAUUAUUUAUUUACUCAUCUUGUUUUAAUUUUAAAGCUUCUAGAUAUGCAUUUCUUAAAUUAUAUAACUUAUUGGAUUUUCAUAUCCAAUAAGUUGAAAUACAUUUAGGUUUGAAAAAAAAAUAGUUACGAGAAAAUAUCUUGCAGAAAGUACGAGAUUUAAUGUUUAUAAAAUUUAAAAACUUUAUUAAUGAUAUGUGGAGAAAUAUAUACAUAUAUAUAUAAAUUAUCUCGCAUACAAGAAAUUUUUUAAAUUAGAAGAUUUUUUUUUAAUAUGAGGUUGUCAGGGUUUGAGCUUUAAAUUAUUAAAACUAAGAGUUAUACAUAAACUAUUAAAACUAUUAAAAAUAGCCCUUAUAUUAGUGUUUGGAUGUUUGUAUGUAUGUAUAUGGUAUACAUAAACAUAGGCUUAAAAAAUAUGCUACAUACGAUGUUUCUAUAAAAAUUCAUGUAAUUGCAAAAUAAAAUGUAAAUUUCAAGCACUAUGCAUACAUAAAUCAUUUCUAAAAAAAUUCUAAAAAUUAAAUUCAAUAAAAUUAGAAUAUAACUUAAUAACCAGAAAUAAAAAAUACUAAAAAAGGCAAAUACCGAGAAUAUAAAAUUACUCAUGCAAAAUUAAUGCAUUAGCGAACCAUAUGAAGUUCUUGGUUGUUUUGUCUUAUUUACAAUAUGUUUGAAUGGAUUUUUGCUAUUUGCUAUUUGCUUCCGAAAGCAAAAAAGAAAAAAUUGCAUUUCCAUAAGCAAUAAAAUUUUGAAAUAUGUAAAAUUUUUAUGAUUAAUUACAUAAUUCUACUUCUAUAUAGACUAAAUGUGUUAUAAUUGAUUUUAUAUUUUAAUUAUUUUUUUCUCUUUUAGAUCAAUCAUGAUAUUGUAUUUUUACCUUUGGCUUUUCCUUUCUAGUAAUUUUUCUAAAGGCAAAAAGUAGAAACUCCAACUAGAUGGGAUCUUAUAGUUUCUUUUAUUCUCUUAGUUGUUUCUUUUAAGCAGGUGGGAGACAUAAUGAAACUUUAACCUUUUGGUAUGGAGUCAAAAGUUGGCAAGUAUUACAUUUAUAAGUAUCCAUUACAAACAAAUUAAUCAUUUACCGAUUAAAAUUUUGGUUAAAACUUACCCUGAAUAAAAGAUUUUCAAGUACAAAACUGUUUCUACUUUAUAGGACUUUUAUGUGGAAGGGCAACGAUAUACUCACCCAUGCAGGGGCCAAAAUUUUAUUAAUGUGAGGAAAAUUAUACUGAAAAAUAUCAUUACUGAAAUUGGAAGGUGUUCAGGACUUCUGCUAAGCCCCUUCACUUCCCUAUUGGAAAAGUUGUUUUUAUUCUGGCGGAUGUCUUUGUUUUCUUUCAUCCCAAAUAAUAAAUCUAUGACCAUGAAAUUCUUAACGCUUUCUCUUUCUUCAUGUACUAAGAAGAGCAUCAAGGUUGGGAAUUUGUCACUUCUUUUCCCACAAAAUGACAAUGAAACCGUCAAAAAACAUUUGGAUUCGACAUCCGCAGUGCCAUGUGGAGAUUGGAAGUGUUAUGUUAAGUAUGAAGGAGAAGAUCAGACAUCAGUAAGCUCUCAGCACUGUCAGGUAAUAAAGAAUGAGACAGCUUCAAC